GAGGAAGUAAUAUUUUUAAUUGAUAUUAUAAACAUCUCACUAGUCACUAUAAUUAAUCUGUUAUUACAACGGUAAGGUAAUAGAUAAGACACAAAACAACCAACUUAAAAACAGAGUAUAAAAACAGAGCAUAAUAUAUCUGCUAUAUCUUUUCUAUUAUUGCUGUGAGUGCGCAUAAAGGAAACUAAAACACAAAGUAGACAUCAUUGAUAUUUAAAAGCAUUCAAGCACACAUCUCACUAGUCACUAUAAUUAAUCUGUUAUUACAACGGGUAAGGUAAUAGAUAAGACACAAAACAACCAACUUAAAAACAGAGUAUAAAAACAGAGCAUAAUAUAUCUGCUAUAUCUUUUCUAUUAUUGCUGUGAGUGCGCAUAAAGGAAACUAAAACACAAAGUAGA
rnacentral:lncRNA from 1 species